AAGAGUCCAGACUGGAUUUGAC
rnacentral:miRNA from 1 species